rnacentral:rRNA from 1 species
UACGUAGGGUGCAAGCGUUAAUCGGAAUUACUGGGCGUAAAGCGUGCGCAGGCGGUUAUGUAAGACAGAUGUGAAAUCCCCGGGCUUAACCUGGGAACUGCGUUUGAAACUUGGGGAGCUUGAGUGUGGAAGAGGGGGGUGGAAUUCCAGGUGUAGCAGUGAAAUGCGUAGAGAUCUGGAGGAACACCAAUGGCGAAAGCAGCUCUCUGGGACGGUACUGACGCUGAGACGCGAAAGCGUGGGGAGCGAACAGG